rnacentral:snoRNA from 1 species
ACUCCCGUUCUUGGCAGGCCCCGGCUACCCCGUGCCUGGGUCUGUGAUGUCCGGAGGUAGAGCAGCGACUCUUUUGACACCC